rnacentral:tRNA from 3 species
GCUGAUGUAGCUCCAACGGCAGAGCACCCGACUUGUAAUCGGACGGUUGUCGGUUCGAAUCCGACCAUCAGCUCCA